rnacentral:rRNA from 1 species
GAUGAACGCUGGCGGCGUGCCUAAUACAUGCAAGUCGAGCGAACGGACGAGAAGCUUGCUUCUCUGAUGUUAGCGGCGGACGGGUGAGUAACACGUGGAUAACCUACCUAUAAGACUGGGAUAACUUCGGGAAACCGGAGCUAUACCGGAUAAUAUUUUGAACCGCAUGGUUCAAAAGUGAAAGACGGUCUUGCUGUCACUUAUAGAUGGAUCCGCGCUGCAUUAGCUAGUUGGUAAGGUAACGGCUUACCAAGGCAACGAUGCAUAGCCGACCUGAGAGGGUGAUCGGCCACACUGGAACUGAGACACGGUCCAGACUCCUACGGGAGGCAGCAGUAGGGAAUUUUCCGCAAUGGGCGAAAGCCUGACGGAGCAACGCCGCGUGAGUGAUGAAGGUCUUCGGAUCGUAAAACUCUGUUAUUAGGGAAGAACAUAUGUGUAAGUAACUGUGCACAUCUUGACGGUACCUAAUCAGAAAGCCACGGCUAACUACGUG